GGGAAUGUAACUCAAUGGUAGAGCAUUUGCCUAGAAUGCAUGAGGUCCUGGAUUCAAUCUCCAGCACCA
rnacentral:tRNA from 1 species